rnacentral:rRNA from 1 species
AGUGAACGCUGGCGGUAGGCCUAACACAUGCAAGUCGAACGGCAGCACAGUAAGAGCUUGCUCUUACGGGUGGCGAGUGGCGGACGGGUGAGGAAUACAUCGGAAUCUACUUUUUCGUGGGGGAUAACGUAGGGAAACUUACGCUAAUACCUCAUACGACCUACGGGUGAAAGCAGGUGAUCUUCGGACCUUGCGCGAUUGAAUGAGCCGAUGUCGGAUUAGCUAGUUGGCGGGGUAAAGGCCCACCAAGGCGACGAUCCGUAGCUGGUCUGAGAGGAUGAUCAGCCAAACUGGAACUGAGACACGGUCCAGACUCCUACGGGAGGCAGCAGUGGGGAAUAUUGGACAAUGGGCGCAAGCCUGAUCCAGACAUACCGCGUGGGUGAAGAAGGCCUUCGGGUUUUAAAGCCCUUUUGUUGGGAAAGAAAAGCAGCAGGUUAAUACCCCGCUGUUCUGACGGUACCCAAAGAAUAAGCACCGGCUAACUUCGUG